CUUAAAAUGUGGAGAGUGGCUGGGUACGGUGGCUCACACCUGUAAUCCCAGCACUUUAGGAGGCUGAGGCAGGUGGAUCACGAGAGUUACAAAUGCACUUAAAAAAGGAAAUAUAUCUCUUUCACAAAUGGGUAUGAUUGUCAAUUGCUAUAAAGGAAGAAGGUAACUAUAAGAAAAAGCACAAAACAGUGUUACUAAAUUCCUGCCCAAUAAGCUUAAGGGUUGCUCUUCCUUGAUUAGAAAUGGGGAUCCCUAAGGGUCAAGGAGGGUUUGUGGCAGACCAACUGCUAGAACCCUCUCCUUGACUUGUUCAGAAGGAUUGCAAGAGUUUGGCAAAUGGAGCAUUUUCCAACGAGUCUGAGUGUCUGGAUCAUGGGCCUGUGAAUCCCUAAGUCCUUUGAAGGUGUGGAUGCCCCAUAUCUGCUGACUCAGAGCUGGCCAGCUCUCACCUCCUCAGGUGCUGCCUUUUCUCCUGUGCAGCAAAGAAGAUGAGGCCCAGAAACCUCCAAGCUGCCCCCAAGGCACAAGAGCAGACCUUCAGCUGUUCUCCCAGGGGAGUAGGCUGGAGUGCUGUGGCUUGAUUUUGAUCUCAGCUCAUUGCAACCUCCACCUCCUGGGCUCAAGUGAUCCUCCCACCUCCAUCACCCGAAUACUGGAACAACUGGUGAGUGCCACCACA
rnacentral:lncRNA from 1 species